rnacentral:rRNA from 1 species
AGCCGCGGUAAUACGUAGGUGGCAAGCGUUGUCCGGAAUUAUUGGGCGUAAAGCGCGCGCAGGCGGUUCCUUAAGUCUGAUGUGAAAGCCCCCGGCUCAACCGGGGAGGGUCAUUGGAAACUGGGGAACUUGAGUGCAGAAGAGGAGAGCGGAAUUCCACGUGUAGCGGUGAAAUGCGUAGAGAUGUGGAGGAACACCAGUGGCGAAGGCGGCUCUCUGGUCUGUAACUGACGCUGAGGCGCGAAAGCGUGGGGAGCGAACAGGAUUAGAUACCCUGGUAGUCCACGCCGUAAACGAUGAGUGCUAAGUGUUAGAGGGUUUCCGCCCUUUAGUGCUGCAGCAAACGCAUUAAGCACUCCGCCUGGGGAGUACGGCCGCAAGGCUGAAACUCAAAGGAAUUGACGGGGGCCCGCACAAGCGGUGGAGCAUGUGGUUUAAUUCGAAGCAACGCGAAGAACCUUACCAGGUCUUGACAUCCUCUGACAACCCUAGAGAUAGGGCGUUCCCCUUCGGGGGACAGAGUGACAGGUGGUGCAUGGUUGUCGUCAGCUCGUGUCGUGAGAUGUUGGGUUAAGUCCCGCAACGAGCGCAACCCUUGAUCUUAGUUGCCAGCAUUAAGUUGGGCACUCUAAGGUGACUGCCGGUGACAAACCGGAGGAAGGUGGGGAUGACGUCAAAUCAUCAUGCCCCUUAUGACCUGNGCUACACACGUGCUACAAUGGAUGGAACAAAGGGUAGCGAAGCCGCGAGGUGAAGCCAAUCCCNNNAAACCAUUCUCAGUUCGGAUUGCAGGCUGCAACUCGCCUGCAUGAAGCCGGAAUCGCUAGUAAUCGCGGAUCAGCAUGCCGCGGUGAAUNNGUUCCCGGGCCUUGCACACACCGCCCG